rnacentral:rRNA from 1 species
CAUCAUCUGACGCUGAGGCGCGAAAGCGUGGGUAGCAAACAGGAUUAGAUACCCUGGUAGUCCACGCCCUAAACGAUGGAUACUAGGCGUAGGAGGUAUCGACCCCUCCUGUGCCGCAGCUAACGCAUUAAGUAUCCCGCCUGGGGACUACGGCCGCAAGGUUGAAACUCAAAUGAAUUGACGGGGACCCGCACAAGCGGUGGAGCAUGUGGAUUAAUUCGAUACUAACCGAAGAACCUUACCCACUCUUGACAUCGAAGGAAAGCUCUAGAGAUAGGGCCCUCCCCCACAAGGGGACCUGAAGACAGAUGUUGCAUGGCUGUCGUCAGCUCGUGCCGUGAGGUGUACGGUUAAGUCCGCCAACGAGCGCAACCCUCGUCCUGUGUUACCAGCACGUAAUGGUGGGCACUCACAGGAGACCGCCGGUGUAAGCCGGAGGAAGGUGAGGAUGACGUCAAGUCAGCAUGGCUCUUACGAGUGGGGCUUCACACAUGCUACAAUGGGCGCAACAAAGGGCCGCAAAGCCGCGAGGUGGAGCAAAUCCCAAAAAUACGUCCUCAGUUCAGAUUGCAGUCUGCAACUCGACUGCAUGAAGGCGGAAUCGCUAGUAAACGCAGGUCAGCUAUACUGCGUUGAAUACGUUCCCGGGUCUUGUACACACCGCCCGUCAAGUCACUUGAAUC